UGGUGGAGCGAUUUGUCUGGUUAAUUCCGAUAACGAACGAGACUCUAGCCUGCUAAAUAGUACACUGAUCUUUAAUGUCAGUGCUGUACUUCUUAGAGGGACAAGUAGCGGUUAGCUACACGAAAUUGAGCAAUAACA
rnacentral:rRNA from 1 species